rnacentral:rRNA from 1 species
UACAGAGGUCUCAAGCGUUGUUCGGAUUCAUUGGGCGUAAAGGGUGCGUAGGUGGCGCGCUAAGUCAGGUGUGAAAUUUCGGAGCUUAACUCCGAAACUGCAUUUGAUACUGGCGUGCUUGAGGACUGGAGAGGAGACUGGAAUUCAUGGUGUAGCAGUGAAAUGCGUAGAGAUCAUGAGGAAGACCAGUGGCGAAGGCGGGUCUCUGGACAGUGCCUGACACUGAGGCACGAAGGCCAGGGGAGCAAACGGG